CCUACGGGAGGCUGCAGUGGGGAAUAUUCGACAAUGGGGGGAACCCUGAUCCAGCCAUGCCGCGUGUGUGAAGAAGGCCCUCGGGUUGUAAAGCACUUUCAGUGAGGAAGAACGCCUGGUGGUUAAUACCCAUCAGGAAAGACAUCACUCACAGAAGAAGCACCGGCUAACUCCGUGCCAGCAGCCGCGGUAAUACGGAGGGUGCGAGCGUUAAUCGGAAUUACUGGGCGUAAAGCGCGCGUAGGUGGCUUGAUAAGCCGGUUGUGAAAGCCCCGGGCUCAACCUGGGAACGGCAUCCGGAACUGUCAAGCUAGAGUGCAGGAGAGGAAGGUAGAAUUCCCGGUGUAGCGGUGAAAUGCGUAGAGAUCGGGAGGAAUACCAGUGGCGAAGGCGGCCUUCUGGACUGACACUGACACUGAGGUGCGAAAGCGUGGGUAGCAAACAGGAUUAGAUACCCCAGUAGUC
rnacentral:rRNA from 1 species